GGAGUAUUUCUGUGCCAAAAAUCUUACAUCUGGACUUUUUGGAGAUAUCAAGGAUGCAGUACUCUAUAGGUCCUCAAGAUUAACAUGAGAUUGGGUGAAACUGUGUGUGUUAUGUCCCCUUUAAGAAUACAGAAAUUAAGAUUCUU